ACUCCGUAGGUGAACCUGCGGAGGGAUCAUUACAAGUGACCCCGGUCUUACCACCGGGAUGUUCAUAACCCUUUGUUGUCCGACUCUGUUGCCUCCGGGGCGACCCUGCCUUCGGGCGGGGGCUCCGGGUGGACACUUCAAACUCUUGCGUAACUUUGCAGUCUGAGUAAACUUAAUUAAUAAAUUAAAACUUUUAACAACGGAUCUCUUGGUUCUG
rnacentral:misc_RNA from 1 species